UACGAAGGGGGCUAGCGUUGCUCGGAAUUACUGGGCGUAAAGGGCGCGUAGGCGGAUAUCUAAGUCGGGGGUGAAAGCCCAGGGCUCAACCCUGGAAUUGCCUUCGAUACUGGAUAUCUUGAGUUCGGGAGAGGUGAGUGGAAUGCCGAGUGUAGAGGUGAAAUUCGUAGAUAUUCGGCGGAACACCAGUGGCGAAGGCGACUCACUGGCCCGGUACUGACGCUGAGGUGCGAAAGCGUGGGGAGCAAACAGG
rnacentral:rRNA from 1 species